rnacentral:lncRNA from 1 species
CUCCCUCUCCCCAUUGAAUGGAAUCCCUUGAAGCACUUAUAAAAUUCAAGGGCUCAUGGGAUUCUGUGUAAAAAUCAGAGAUCUUGAUUAGCCAGGUUUUACAUGCUCAAUCUCUGUGGUUAUGUUUUUAGGAUUUGUUAUGUACAAAAACUAAAUUCAGCUUUUACAGACCAGCUUUGUGUUUAUAGCUGAUAUACUGUCAACAGUAGGAAAAGAAAAGUUUAAUUUUCCAGGAAUCAGAAUAGGAGUCAGAAUAUGUAUCUACAGGCAAAGUCAC